CAAUUGGAAGUAUAUGUAUUUGUUAUGUGUCAAUCACAAUGAAUCCGUAUCUCGUACUCUCUUUCUCUCUCUCUGAGUGCCGCGUUUUUGGCCAUCAGUCUCUCUCCUGAGGGUCCUUUCUUCUGUUUUCAAUGUAUAUUAUUGUGUAUUAAGUAUACAAACUCCUGAACACUGAAAGGUUUGUACGGGUUACACGCGCAGCAGGAAAAAGAAGCGAGAGUUUUCUCUCUCGGCCGGAUGAUACCGGAGUCCAGAUCUGAAGUCAGAUCAGCCUAGCCUCCUCUGACAGCAUGGGCAACAGUUGGUGUUUGCUGACCGGCGGGAUCUGCUGUGCUGCUCUCUGACGACGGGGCAGAUCUACUAUCUCCGGCUCUCUACCUCUGGUUCUCUCUCACCAAAACCCCCCAACGGUUGCAAUAUGUUGGGCUAUUUAUCGCUUUUACUUCUGAAAAGUAGAUUGGAUUAGGCUAGGAGAUCUUGGUCGAUUUCAUCUGGUGAUGAGGGGAAGUCUAGUGCUCUUUGGAUCGGCAGUAAGGUUGAAGUUGGAGUGGUAGCGGAUUCGAUGGAAAGAGACCAGUUUCCCUCAACACAAUGGUAAUCUUGAUCUUUUCAUUAAUAAAGGGGUGCUAUAUUCAGAUAGUUUAUUUGUUUUCUUGUUUAGAUUUUGGUUAAUAUGUUGCACUGACUAUAUCAAUUGAUCAACAAUGCUCUUAUAAUUUGUAAUCCAAAAAAUUUACAGGUCACAGAUUCUCACAGCUGAUAAUGGGUGCAACUGAUUAUGUGAAUUGAACUUUUUAUUGUGUUUGUAUUUUGUGUUCAAAUAAUAAAUGGAUAUUGAGUAAUAAGUUUACCAAUUUUAUACACAUAACGAUGUUUUGAUUAGAUUGCUUUAUUAGAGUUGAGGUUGGCAUCUUAUGACAUUAGUUUUAUUUCAAAUUUGUGGUCAAGGAGAAUCAUUGAUGAAUUAAUUCGGACUAUGAA